rnacentral:rRNA from 2 species
UAAAGUAUGUCGUAGUCCGGAUUGGAGUCUGCAACUCGACUCCAUGAAGUCGGAAUCGCUAGUAAUCGUAGAUCAGAAUGCUACGGUGAAUACGUUCCCGGGCCUUGUACACACCGCCCGUCACACCAUGGGAGUGGGUUGCAAAAGAAGUAGGUAGCUUAACCUUCGGGAGGGCGCUUACCACUUUGUGAUUCAUGACUGGGGUGAAGUCGUAACAAGGUAACCGUAGGGGAACCUGCGGUUGGAUCACCUCCUUA